CAGCCGUAAACUAUGCUCGCUAGGUGUCAGGCAUGGCGCGACCGUGUCUGGUGCCGCAGGGAAGCCGUGAAGCGAGCCACCUGGGAAGUACGGCCGCAAGGCUGAACUUAAGGAUUGGCGGGGGANCACAACAACGGGUGGAGCCUGCGGUUUAAUGGACUCAACGCCGGACAACUCACCGGGGGACGACAGCAAUAUGUAGGCCAGGCUGAAGACCUUGCCUGAAUCGCUGAGAGGAGGUGCAUGGCGUAGACGUCU
rnacentral:rRNA from 1 species